GACCAAAGUCCUACCUAACUCCAAAAUAUAUGCAUGCAUGAUCAUGUAUAAAUGCAAGCAUGCAAUUCAAACAAUCACCAUAAAUUGUCAUCAAAGUUGCCAUCUGUCAUGCCUUAAUUUUUAACCCUAAGAUCCCACAUAUCAUUUGCAUCUUUACAUACAAACAAGGUCACAUCUUGGUCCUUCCCUUUAUCCAUCUUUAGGUUUGCUUCUUACAGGGAUCACCAAGCACCUCUUUGUUUUGUUUUACCUCUGUG
rnacentral:lncRNA from 1 species